AAGUGGAAUUUAGUAACUAUCAGGAGCUGAAAUGGCGUAGCUUGUCUCUGUCGGCGAUGGACAACGGGCCUGGAUAAAGCGGACAAACCUGGCCACAAACCGCGCGGAGAUGGAGUUUAACCCAUGUCCUUUAUCAUCACACUGAAAAACUAGUCAAGAAGAGACGCGAAGUCGUCCUGCCGCCUGGUAAGACGAAGAGUUCGACAUGCGUGAGUGUGAGACUACAGGGAAAGCGCCGACAGAUGAGAAGUGGGUCAGCAGCAUGCCGAAGCCUGUCUUACGCUCGCUUCCUUCAGAUCUGCUAAACAUCAUGCCCGGGUAGCAUUUCACGCACCAUCCAUCCAGAAGGAUGACAUCAUCGGUGGAGUCCAGGCCACUUUUAUUUCCUCUCAAGUUUUAAUUUAGUUGUUUUUCCCUCUUUUUCAUCCCAGGAGAAUGCUGAAUUGUUUACUUCACUAUUCCCUCCCCCACCCCACCCCUCCAAAACAACUAUAUCCGGUCAGCUAUAUGUUUAAACGCAUCCUGAUCGUGCUCGCUGACGUGGUAUUCAAGUCAUAUUGUUUCAUUUGUAUAUUGCUUAUAACAUUACACAUAGUCACGGAGAAGCUUUACCUAGAUAAAAUCAUUCACGUUACAUACGAAGUCGUACCGUGUUGAAAAACGUAAAUCUCUGGACGUUUUCCUCAAAGCUUACAGAAUUUAGGAGGGAUGUAUAGUCUGGGUUAUAAUCCUAGAAGCUUUGGGAUUACGUCUAAGGAAGGUCAUCGUUUGCGUGUCGGAUAUUUUACGCACCGGCUCGUUGCGGCGAUGGACUUCGAACCCGCUCGAUUUGAGUGUGGGUCGAUGGCCCGCGUUCACGCGCGAAGAUUUUCCCCAGUCCGAAGGAAUUAGUCCGGAUCAUUCCGUUUAUAAACCGUGACAGUGCGGAGAAAAACACGGUCUGAGUGCGACUGCUAGACGUCGCUCGGCGUCUCGUAUUUGCCCCGAGAUUCAGGAGCUCUGGUUGUUGAAAAAUAAUAAGAACAAUAAGAGGAAUAUCACCAAUAAAAUGCGGUACAAUGCCUUCAGUUUUUAUGGAUAACUGCACAAGAAAUGUAGGUUUUAUCAGUUUUACCCUGAAUUUGGAUAGAAAUGUCAUUCCGAUUGGCCUCGGUUGGUUUACUCGGUUGUAACGGCGCUCUCGGUCUAAUUAUUGACAGAUUAUUGGGCUGCAUGUAAACAUAGCCAUUUAUGAUCAUAUGAUGGAAAUCACAGAUUUAUUUACAUUUAUUCCACUUCCUUUUUUUCCUCCCAAGAAGUUUUGGAAGUGUGUGUGUGUGUGUGUGUGUGUGUGUGUGUGUGUUUGAACUGUAGUGAUGAAAACCUAGGUCGUAUGAACUGUAACACAGGAGCUAUGUUUCCAUCCAAGUUGCGAAUCGAACUUGCGCGACAAAAUCGGAACAUCGCGUAAAACGUGCGAAUAAAGCACGUGUUCAGGAGAACAAAAUCGUCACUUCCGGGUGCGUCUCGUUCCCCGCCGCUCUCCUGAGCCGAUUAUCCAAUCACGUGAAUUGUUGAGGCAAAGUCACAUGACUUAAAAAAAAAAAUAUAUAUAUAUAUAUAUUUAUUUUUGAUGUGCAUCGAGGAAUUCAUUCUGCUUCUAUUGAGGCCAAAAUGUUUUGUUUUAUGUGCAUUUUGGGGAUUUUUAAAAAUGUCUUUAUGCGAUAUACUAAAAUUUGUCGAUGGUAACAUAGCUAAUGAUUGUUCAGUGGUAGUGCGAGCAUCACAUCGAACACACUUUCAUUCUCUCUUUCUAUGUCAUGAAACCGGAUCCACGCGGUUUGAAGGUAAAUGGCGUCUACAGACGUGGGCUGUGUGCAAUACGGUUGUCCGUCCCUUUUUUUUAAAAUUAUUAUUAUUAUUAUUAUUAUUAUUAUUAUUUCAGUGUGCGUCCUGUUUCGAGAUAAACAUGUAUAUUGUACAAACAAGUGACGAGUUGUUCGUGCGACAAACAACAAAAUCACCAAUGUCUUCCAUUAAAUGAUGUAUAGUUUCAUCCGCUUGUUAGGUAGCGGGAUCUGUCGUGCCAAUGUUAUAUGUGGCCAUGCAUGAGCGGACUCGAUGCUUGCGGAGUAGUUGUAGUGAAGUAUAUUACCGUUAACGCGUAUUAGCUAAUAGUUGAGCAGGUGACGGUUAGGCUAAUUAGCACUGUGUAGCUUUGAGAAUAGUGAGCUUUGGAGAAAACCCAUUUUGUUUUGGUUUUUUUUUUUCGUUCUUGUCUUUGGAAAUUAGUCUAAUCUUAUCGUUUUCUUCUACUAGCGAAAAAUAUGACAUCUUUGGUGUAAAAAAGAAGAAGCUAGUUCCCCCACCCCCUGUUAAACCUUGUUUUUUUUUUUCUAUUAAUAAAAAAAAAAAGUCUUUGGAUUUAUAUUUAAGAUAAAAUCAGAGCCUAAAGAGGACAAAUCACCUUCAACCGUUUUUAAACUUAUUGCUCUUAAUCUUCGCUAGCUAGCACAGGACGACCUGACUAGCGACUAGCUAACUCGGUUGCCUCAGUGCUCGUGGCUGUAAAUUAGGAGCGGGUGGGGGAAAACAAAAAAACAAAAAAACGUAGUAAUACAGGAAUUAAAAAAUUUAGAGUGGAUUUAAGGUAGCACUGUCUUUCCUACGCGGUCGUGGAUGCGUCAGAGAGGUUAGCUAGGCUAGCUUUAACGUAGCACACACACACGAUCAAUUUUAGUCAGCGUGUAGUUUAGUCAGCUAGCGUCUAGCGCCGAUGUAGAUAGUUAAAUACCUCAGUGACUGGAAUGCAAAGUCUAUUUUUAUUUUUUUUUUUGGAUUCCAUCGACAAAUAUGCAAGCCAUACUGCGCAUCACGUUCGAUAUUUUAACGCGAGGUUCGAGCCGUGCCGAAAACGUGACGCCGCCGCGUCGUUUGGUCGGAGCGUUCGGACAGACGAACCCAGUCAUGUGCAAAGUCUCGAUAUAAAGCGAUGAAGUUUGCUAGAACGAUUCAUAACCAAGCGUCAUACUCGAUCGUUUUUUGUCACUUAAGUAAUCAAGUGGCGCUAUAUAUAAUAUAUAUAUAUAUAUAAAUAAAAUAUAUAAUAUUAGUGUAUGUUAUUAGCAUACAGCUACACCUCUGGAGCUUUUGUUGAAUUAUUAAUGAAUUUAUGAUUUGUCCACCUGUGUUGCCAGGUCAUCGUAUUACACACACGAUUAGGCUUAACUGGUUUUGGUAACAAUUUUACUCUGACAGACUGCACUGAUUCAGAACCGAAAGUCCCACUGUGCCAAGAAAAGGGGGUGUGGCCUAUGUUGUGUCAUCGCACCACUCGUUAUAGCUCAGUAUACUGGUCCAGGUGGUAUCGUAGCGAACGUCAGUUGUCGCGUCCCGUCGGGAGGAACGGGACCACAGAGAGAGCGAGAAAAGCAACGCCGACACGGUCGCAACUCACUUUUCAGCUUCCCACUGUGUGGUGUGUUCUGUUCGAGUCAAAAUGACCUGAAACGUACUUUUCACAAAACUAAAUAGGUAAAGGAAUACGUUUACUUUUUGGUGCAUCUAUCAACCCUUUAUAUUUAUAUCGCACCAGUUAUAUCCCAGUCAUUUUAAUUGGAUAUUUACAGAAAUAAAACAUCCUCCACGUCUCAUUUGCGACCGUUCAGUAUUGCCGAGUAGCGAGUGCUCCGAACGUUUUCGGCACGGACGCACCCUCGUCAUUUAGAAGCAAUAAUCUUAUUAUGCAUGAACUCUAUAGUGCCAGAAUGGUGUUUCGUGGAAUGACCUGUAGCAUAUUUCUAGCCUUGGUGUGUGUGUGUGAGUGUGUGUGUGUGUGUGUGUGUGUGUGUGUGUGUGUGUGUGUGUUAAGCCAUCAGUGGCUGUUGGUUUAUUACUAAAGCAAACUGGAUUCUCCAGGAGGCCAAAACUGAGCUCACGUGUUCGUUUAAAACCAAAAACGUUGUACGGGAACGUCGUCAUGAGAGAAAAAUGUCUGAGAACGUACUUCUUUAUGCACACUGCAUGAUUUUCUAUCACUACAUCAGCAGAAAACGCACAGAUCCCGAUUAUGCAGUCGGAAAGCAAUAGGAGAGAGGUGACGGUGACGCGGACGGCUCAUUUCAGACGCUACGGUACGCUCUUCACACGCACUGAACAUCGUUUAUCCAGUGAGCCUGUCGGUGUUUCUAUAUGGGAAUGUAGGGGGAGGGAUAAAUUAGCUACUGCAUGGUAGAAGUGGCUACCACGUGUGUUGUGCUGCAUGCAAUAAUGAAGCUUUUGCUCGGAGAAAAUAUAACGCAAAAAUGUGAAGUCAAGCGAGUGGACCGAUUGUGUUUGAUUCUUCCCUCAGCUCUGUUUUAAAAAAGAAAAAAAAAAGAAAAACAGGUUGUGUAUCUAUAUGCCCCCCCCUUCCACACACACACACACACACACACACACACUCAUCUCACGUGCUUUAUUAUAACCCAUUCUGUAUGUAACUUUCCUUUUUUUAAAUUUUGAAAUGCAUCUCGUCAAGAGGGAUCUGCAGUAUUAUCUGUAUCAACCCGUCACCUGAUGAUGGGAAUGAUCCUAAAGGAGGUGGACACUAAUAAAAUAAUUUCGUACAAGCUUGCUGCUAUACUCGGCUGAUGGAAAUAAAAUUACAAAAAUGUAUGCGCACGAUAAAUAAAUAAAUAAAUCAAUCACGCCCUCCGGUAUUAGCUUUACGCAUCAGAUCCUGGCGGAAGGGCGAAAUCUCAGUGCCGAUCCGUUACCCGGUCUUCACUCACAUCCAACCCGUGCGUUAUUUCAAGCGUUCAAACGGAUCACGUGACGACAGUAGACUCGUGACCUCGAGCGGGUUAAAUUGUUAUUCCCAACUGGAAUCUAAUCCCCUGACUGCCAUUGUCACAAUUUUGAACAAAGUUAUAUUGUUUUCUUCCCCAGCAUGUUGUAUUUUUUUUUUCUUUUCACAAGAUGGGAACACUGUACAGUAUGUUUGGUUAAAUCUAUGCACUACCGAUGCGCUAAGCAUGCUAAGAUAAACCUCUUGAUUUUGUACAAUUUAAAAAAAAAAAGAAAUCUGUAUAUGAAAUUUAGCAAUAAAAACAGCAUGGUGCCAAUCUUA